CCCUGAACAAGGCAGUUAACCCCACUGUUCCUAGGCUGUCAUUGUAAAUUCAGAAUUUGUUCUUAAGUGACUUGCCUUGUUUAAUAAAAGGUUAAGAAAAAAAAACUGUGGGUAGUCAACAGGGUACCAUUUGAGACACAAUGGAUUAAGAAGACAAGAUGGAGGGUAAUUUCUGGAUGACAACGAUCCUCCUGUCCUUCUGUCUUUCGGGUCAUAUGUUUACUGAACUCUCCCAACGUCCCAACUGCAAAGACAGACCUCUGUCCGUCCAGCGUGAAUCUUUCCACAGCAGAGUGUCCAUCUCCUGCCCCGACAAGACAGGAGAAGAUAUGAGAUUCCACCUCUCUUGGAACGAGACCCUCGUUCACACCACAGUGCUCAAGAUUAACCAGAUUCACACCAGAAACAACCAAUCAGACACCUGGAUCCAGUUCUACCUAGCUGAACAGAACCAGAACCACAAUCUACCCAACCGCUAUGUGUUCACGGUCAAUGGAUCAGGAAUGUAUACCUGUAGAGCGGACAAGCUGUGGCCACCCCCUUAUGAAGAGGACUAUGUUCACACUCUACUGAUUGCAGAGAAGCAGUGUCUGAAACCCCACUAUCCGCUAGCCAAUCAGAGUUGUGUGGAGGAUCCUAAACCCCUCCUUCUGUGUGUGUUAUUGGUUGGAUGUGGGGCGCUACUCUUCUACAGCACCAUCAUCACCUUCGUCGUCGUCCUCACCUGGAGGAAGCUGAAGAAGGAAAUUUCUGCUCAGAGUACAUACUUGAACAUAAAGCUAGGAGAGAAGAGAGUUCCUCAGAGAGUCCAGUAUCCAGUCACCGGAAGGUUCUGAUGCUGAUCUUCCUAAGGCUGUGCGUGCACUACUUUUGUGCACAAUAUAGGGAAUAGGCACCCUAAUCUGGGACUUGGCCGAUUGGCUCUUCAAUCAAUCUACUGACGCAUUCAAUGCAUUAUAACUUCGGGAAAAUCAGGAUCAUUAGGACAUGAUCAGAAUACAUGAUUACGUCUCAUACUGCAUCAGAACAGCGUCGUACUGCAUCAGAACAGCUUCGUACUGCAUCAGAACAGCUUCAUACUGCAUCAGAACAGCUUUAUACUGCAUCAGAACAGUGUCAUACUGCAUCAGAAUAGUGUCAUACUGCAUCAGAACAGCUUUAUACUGCAUCAGAACAGUGUCAUACUGCAUCAGAAUAGUGUCAUACUGCAUCAGAACAGCUUUAUACUGCAUCAGAACAGUGUCAUACUGCAUCAGAAUAGUGUCAUACUGCAUCAGAACAGCUUUAUACUGCAUCAGAACAGGUCAUACUGCAUCAGAACAGCUUCGUACUGCAUCAGAACAGCUUCGUACUGCAUCAGAACAGCUUCAUAAUACAUUAUUCCUACAGGCUCUAAGUAAAGUUGUACCAAUCAGGAUGUUUGUAUUAAACGCUACACUCUGUAUAAUCUCUGUGUUGUUCCAUAACAAUGACUUCCCUGCCUAUUGUUUAAUGCUCUGUAUGAAGCUGUUUGUGUUUCAAAAGUAAAGGAAGGAGAAUGUUCAUGUGAGUUUCACGUUACGCCCUCACCACACGUUCUUCCUGACAUGCUAGGGUUUCACGCUCAAAUGGCACCCUAUUCCCUAUGUAGUGCACUACUGUUGACCAGGGUCCAUAUGGGCUCUGGUCUAAAGUAGUGCACUAUAAUAUAAGGAAUAGGGUGACAUUUGGGACACCUCCGAGACAUUUUUCACGCCUAUUCUAGGAAACAGUUCAAAUCUUAUCAAAGAUCAUGUCUACGAUUCAUUACUGAGCAGUUUCACACAACCCCACAUACUGUAAGCACACAUAAAUAUUGAAUGCCGUUGGUAAAUAUGUGGAUAAUCCCUAAAUAAAAUGGCUGGUUCUAUAAAUAGGGCACUACUUUUGUCCAGGGCCCAUAAGGGAAUAAGGGACAUUUCAGACAAACCCCUUUAUCUGACAGUUGUGGCUGCUUUGCGUGAUGUAUUGUUGUCUCUACCUUCUUGCCCUUUGUGCUGUUGUCUGUGGCCCAAUAAUGUUUGUACCAUGUUUUGUGCUGCUACCAUGUUGUGUUGCUGUCAUGUUGUGUUUCUACCAUGUUGUGUUGCUACCAUGCUGUGUUGUUACCAUGCUGUGUUUCUACCAUGUUGUGUUUCUACCAUGUUGUGUUGCUACCAUGUUGUGUUGCUACCAUGCUGUGUUGCUACCAUGCUGUGUUGUCAUGUUGUGCUGCUACCAUGCUGUGUUGUCAUGUUGUGCUGCUACCAUGUUGUGUUGCUACCAUGCUGUGUUGUCAUGCUGUGUUGUCAUGUUGUGUUGCUACCAUGUUGUAUUGUCAUGUUGUGUUGCUGCCAUGCUAUGUUGCUACCAUGUUGUGUUGCUACCAUGCUGUGUUGUCAUGUUGUGCUGCUACCAUGUUGUGUUGCUACCAUGCUGUGUUGUCAUGUUGUGUUGCUACCAUGCAGUGUUGUCAUGUUGUGUUGCUACCAUGUUGUGUUUCUACCAUGCUGUGUUGCUACCAUGCUGUGUUGUCAUGUUGUGUUUCUACCAUGUUGUGAUGCUACCAUGUUGUGUUUCUACUAUGCUGUGUUGCUACCAUGUUGUGUUGUCAUGUUGUGUUGCUACCAUGUUGUGUUUCUACCAUGUUGUGUUGCUACCAUGCUGUGUUAUCAUGUUGUGUUGCUACCAUGUUGUGUUUCUACCAUGUUGUGUUUCUACCAUGUUGUGUUGCUACCAUGCUGUGUUGUCAUGUUGUGUUGCUGCCAUGUUGUGUUUCUACCAUGUUGUGAUGCUACCAUGCUGUGUUGUCAUGUUGUGCUACUACCAUGUUGUGUUGCUACCAUGCUGUGUUGUCAUGUUGUGUUGCUACCAUGCUGUGUUGUCAUGUUGUGUUGCUACCAUGUUGUGUUGCUACCAUGCUGUGUUGUCAUGUUGUGUUUCUACCAUGUUGUGUUGUCAUGUUGUGUUGUCAUGUUGUGUUUCUACCAUGUUGUGUUGUCAUGUUGUGUUGCUACUAUGCUGUGUUUCUACCAUGUUGUGUUGCUACCAUGCUGUGUUGUCAUGUUGUGUUUCUACCAUGUUGUGUUUCUACCAUGUUGUGUUGCUACCAUGUUGUGUUGUCAUGUUGUGUUUCUACCAUGUUGUGUUGCUACCAUGUUGUGUUGCUACCAUGCUGGGUUGCUACCAUUUUGUGUUUCUACCAUGCUGUGUUCCUACCAUGCUGUGUUUCUACCAUGUUGUGUUGCUACCAUGUUGUGUUUCUACCAUGCUGUGUUGCUACCAUGUUGUGUUGUCAUGUUGUGUUGCUACCAUGUUGUGUUGCUACCAUGUUGUGCUCCUACCAUGCUGUGUUGUCAUGUUGUGUUGCUACCAUGUUGUGUUG
rnacentral:lncRNA from 1 species